rnacentral:rRNA from 1 species
GAUGAACGCUGGCGGCGUGCCUAACACAUGCAAGUCGAACGGAGCUGCUUUGAUGAAGUUUUCGGAUGGAUUUAAAACAGCUUAGUGGCGGACGGGUGAGUAACGCGUGGGUAACCUGCCUCACACUGGGGGAUAACAGUUAGAAAUAGCUGCUAAUACCGCAUAAGCGCACAGUUCCGCAUGGAACAGUGUGAAAAAACUCCGGUGGUGUGAGAUGGAACCCCGCGUCUGAUUAGCCAGUUGGCGGGGUAAACGGCCCGACCAAAGCGACGAUCAGUAGCCGGCCUGAGAAGGGUGAAACGGCCACAUUGGGACUGAGACA